UACGAAGGGGGCUAGCGUUGCUCGGAAUCACUGGGCGUAAAGGGUGCGUAGGCGGGUCUUUAAGUCAGGGGUGAAAUCCUGGAGCUCAACUCCAGAACUGCCUUUGAUACUGGGGAUCUCGAGUCCGGAAGAGGUGAGUGGAACUGCGAGUGUAGAGGUGAAAUUCGUAGAUAUUCGCAAGAACACCAGUGGCGAAGGCGGCUCACUGGCCCGGUACUGACGCUGAGGCACGAAAGCGUGGGGAGCAAACAGG
rnacentral:rRNA from 1 species